rnacentral:rRNA from 1 species
AUUGAACGCUGGCGGCAUGCCUUACACAUGCAAGUCGAACGGUAACGGGCCUUCGGGUGCCGACGAGUGGCGAACGGGUGAGUAAUACAUCGGAACGUGCCCGAUCGUGGGGGAUAACGAGGCGAAAGCUUUGCUAAUACCGCAUACGAUCUACGGAUGAAAGCAGGGGACCGCAAGGCCUUGCGCGGACGGAGCGGCCGAUGGCAGAUUAGGUAGUUGGUGGGAUAAAAGCUUACCAAGCCGACGAUCUGUAGCUGGUCUGAGAGGAUGAUCAGCCACACUGGGACUGAGACACGGCCCAGACUCCUACGGGAGGCAGCAGUGGGGAAUUUUAGACAAUGGGCGCAAGCCUGAUCCAGCCAUGCCGCGUGCAGGAUGAAGGCCUUCGGGUUGUAAACUGCUUUUGUACGGAACGAAAAGCCUUCUUUUAAUACAGGAGGGUCAUGACGGUACCGUAAGAAUAAGCACCGGCUAACUACGUG